rnacentral:lncRNA from 1 species
GCUUUCCUCAGGCUCUAAGGCCCGCGGUGUGGAGCGCGGCGUAGGCAGCGGGGAGUGGGCGGCGCGGGGUGGGUGGAGUGGGUCGGCGGCGGGGAUCCUGCCGAGCCCGCAGCUGCCCUCUUUUAGCGCCGUGUCUCCUCCCCGGCCCUGGCUCGUCCCACCUCAGCCACAGCCCGGCCCCCUGGCCGGCCGAGGUCUCGCCGCCGGCGCCCUGGGGACCUCGUGGGUGUGGCCGGCGGCGACCUCGGCAGGCGACAGCCCAGCAGACGGGCACCAGGUGGACGUGCCAGUCUCCAGACCCCCGUCCCGGUGCAGGGAAGGUGGGCGUUUGGACCCCUGAGGCAGAAACAGGUGCGGCCCCGCCGGCGCAUCCCCCGGAAGGGACGCUGACUUCGUUCCCCUGGAGCCUGCGUCGGGGCCCGCGCUGGGCUGAGAAUUACGGGAACGCCGUGAGAGUUUGCAUUCCGAGGAUUUGGUCUGAGAACCUCACCAGCGAAAUAGAGAACUGCCCCCGGGAGAGCCGGCCCACGUGCCGCCCACCGGCGCCUUGACGGCAGGGAGAGGUCGAGCUUCCAGGGAGCGGGCGCCCGGCGCGGGGCUCCCAGCCUGUCUGUACCUGGUCGAGACACCCCGUGCCAGAGGCGGAACAUUCAGCCGUCUGAAAAGAACACGAGGUGGACAGGGCAGAGCGGUCAAGGAAAGCCAUAGGAGGAGGGCACUUAUUUGAGCAAAGACCGGCGGGACGUGGGCGUCGAGGGUAAGGAUAUCUGCAGAAGUACUGUCUUGAGCAAGGAGCACGGCAGACAGAGCCUCUGAGACACGAGAGCCUGGAGUGUAAGAAACACAGUAGAGGCCACUAAGUCGAGAACGCAGGAGCUGGAAGGACUGGUAGGAAAUGGGAGGUGGGGACAUGGAGGGAUGCAGACAGGUCCUGCACAGUCAGAACUGUGGCCCCUUCUCUGCAGGAAAUGGGCAGCCUUCGGAAGACUGAGCACACGGAAGGAUAUGACUAACCCUUUAAAAGGGUCAUUCUGACUCCUGGGUGAAGAACAGACUAGGAAGGGCUGAGGAGGAGG